ensembl:lncRNA
GAAACUGGGAGGGACUGGGAGGGACUGGGAGGGGCUCAGAGGUCAUACUGGUUUAUACUGGUCUCUACUGGUUUAUAUUGUUCAUAUCAGUCUAUACCGGUCUAUACUGGUUUAUACUGGUCUAUACUGGUUUGCACUGUUUAAUACUAGUUUGUAUUAUCCAUACUGGUUUAUACUGGUUUGUACUGGUCUAUACUGGGUUAUACUGGUCUAUACUGGUUUAUAGUAAUCUAUAUUGGUUUAUACUGGUCUAUAUUGGCCUAUACUGGUCUAUACUGGUUUAUAGUAAUCUAUAUUGGUUUAUACUGGUCUAUACCAGUUUAUACUGGUUUAUACUGGUCUGUAUUAUUCAUACUGGUUUAUAUUGGUCUACACUGUCCGUAGUGGCUUAUACUGGUCUGUACUGGGUUAUACUGGUCUCUAGUGGUUUAUACUGGUCUAUACUGGUUUAUAGUGGUUUACACUGGUCUGCACUGGUUUAUAGUGGUUUAUACUGGUCUAUACUGGUCUAUACUGGUCUAUAGUGGUGCAUUCCCAGUGGGCAACACGGGGGUGAUACUGGGAGGCACUGGGGGGGUGCAAAGGCACGAUACUGGUUUAUACUGGUUCAUACUGGUUUAUACUGGUCUUUACUGGUUUAUACUGGUUUAUAGUGGUUCAUACUGGUUUAUACUGGUUUGUACUGGUGGCAGUGCGUGGUGGGCGUGGCCGGCGGGGCCACCCGGGCGGCUCUGGCCGUUCACCAGGCCCGGAGGGACAACGUGGCCGACGUGGCCGCCAAGGACGCCAGUCAGGUACUGGUUUGGACUGGUUUGGACUGGUUUGGACUGGGAGGGGAUUGGGAGGGACUGGGAGGGGAUUGGGAGGGACUGGAGGGACUGGAGGGACUGGGCAGGGACUGGGAAUGGAACUGGGAGGGACUGGGAGGGACUGGAGGGGCUGUUGGUGUUACUGGUUUGUACUGGUCUAUACUGGUCUGUACUGGUUUGUACUGGUCCAUAUUGGUCUGUACUGGUCUGUACUGGUUUGUACUGGUCCACGUGCAUUCAUACUGGCCAUGUUGUUCUGUGCUGGUCCAUACUGGUUUAUACUGGUCCAUACUGGUUUAUACUGGUCCGUACUGGUCUGUACUGGUCUGUACUUGUCCAUACUGGUCCAUAGUGGUCCGUACUGGUCCAUACUGGACUGUACUGGUCCAUAGUGGUUUAUACUGGUCUGUACUGGUCCAUGCUGGUCCUUACUGGUCCAUACUGGUCCAUAGUGCUCCUUACUGGUCCAUACUGGUCCAUACUGGUCUGUACUGGUCCUUACUGGUCCAUACUGGUCCUUACUGGUCCUUACUGGUCCAUACUGGUCCAUACUGGUCCUUACUGGUCCGUACUGGUCCAUACUGCUCUGUACUGGUUCAUACUGGUCCUUACUGGUCCGUUCUGGUCCAUACUGGUCCAUACUGGUUCAUACUGGUUUGUACUGGUCCUUACUGGUCCAUACUGGUCCUUACUGGUCCAUACCGGUCCAUACUGGUCCAUACUGGUCUGUACUGGUCCAUACUGGUCCUUACUGGUCCGUACUGGUCCAUACUGGUCCGUACUGAUCCAUACUGGUCCCUACUGGUCCUUACUGCUCUGUACUGGUUCAUACUGGUCCUUACUGGUCCUUACUGGCCUGUACUGGUCCAUACUGGUCCUUACUGGUCCGUACUGGUCCAUACUGGUCCAUACUGGUCCGUACUAGUCCUUACUGGUCCGUACUGGUCUGUACUGGGCAGGAGACGCUGGUGAACGGGGCGGGGCUUCUGCUGUCGCUGCUGCUGCUCCCCCUGCUGGACGGGAGGCCCUGGUGAGAGGGGGCGUGGCCUGCGGAGGGGGGCGUGGCCUGCGGGAAUGGGAGGGGCCUGGAGAAAAAGGGGCGGGGCCUG